rnacentral:rRNA from 1 species
UGGGGAAUUUUGCACAAUGGGCGCAAGCCUGAUGCAGCGACGCCGCGUGAGGGAUGAAGGCCUUCGGGUUGUAAACCUUUUUCGCUCAUGGUCAAGCCGCAGCUCUGGGUUGUGGUGAGGGUAGUGGGUAAAGAAGCGCCGGCUAACUACGUGCCAGCAGCCGCGGUAAUACGUAGGGCGCGAGCGUUGUCCGGAAUUAUUGGGCGUAAAGGGCUUGUAGGCGGUGGGCCGCGUCUGCCGUGAAAUCCUCUGGCUUAACUGGGGGCGUGCGGUGGGUACGGGUUGACUUGAGUGCGGUAGGGGAGACUGGAAUUCCUGGUGUAGCGGUGGAAUGCGCAGAUAUCAGGAGGAACACCGGUGGCGGAGGCGGGUCUCUGGGCCGUUACUGACGCUGAGGAGCGAAAGCGUGGGGAGCGAACAGG